rnacentral:rRNA from 1 species
AACGAACGCUGGCGGCAUGCCUAACACAUGCAAGUCGAACGGGAUCCAUCCUUCGGGGUGGUGAGAGUGGCGGACGGGUGAGUAACGCGUGGGAACCUGCCCAGUGGUGGGGGAUAACUGCGGGAAACUGCAGCUAAUACCGCAUGAGCCCGAGAGGGGAAAGAUUUAUCGCCAUUGGAGGGGCCCGCGUUCGAUUAGGUAGUUGGUGGGGUAAUGGCCUACCAAGCCGACGAUCGAUAGCUGGUCUGAGAGGAUGAUCAGCCACACUGGGACUGAGAUACGGCCCAGACUCCUACGGGAGGCAGCAGUGGGGAAUAUUGGACAAUGGGGGCAACCCUGAUCCAGCAAUGCCGCGUGAGUGAUGAAGGCCUUAGGGUUGUAAAGCUCUUUUGCCUGGGACGAUGAUGACGGUACCUGGAGAAUAAGCCCCGGCUAACUUCGUGCCAGCAGCCGCGGUAAUACGAAGGGGGCAAGCGUUGUUCGGAAUUACUGGGCGUAAAGGGCGC